rnacentral:rRNA from 1 species
AUUGAACGCUGGCGGAAUGCUUUACACAUGCAAGUCGAACGGCAGCACGGACUUCGGUCUGGUGGCGAGUGGCGGACGGGUGAGUAAUACAUCGGAACGUGCCCAGUCGUGGGGGAUAACGUAGCGAAAGUUACGCUAAUACCGCAUACGAUCUAUGGAUGAAAGCGGGGGAUCGCAAGACCUCGCGCGAUUGGAGCGGCCGAUAUCAGAUUAGGUAGUUGGUGGGGUAAAGGCUCACCAAGCCGACGAUCUGUAGCUGGUCUGAGAGGACGAGCAGCCACACUGGGACUGGGACACGGCCCAGACUCCUACGGGAGGCAGCAGUGGGGAAUUUUGGACAAUGGGCGAAAGCCUGAUCCAGCCAUGCCGCGUGCAGGAUGAAGGCCUUCGGGUUGUAAACUGCUUUUGUACGGAACGAAAAGGUUUGGGCUAAUAAGCUGAGCUCAUGACGGUACCGUAAGAAUAAGCACCGGCUAACUACGUGCCAGCCGCCGCGGUAA